CUGUCUCUUGUGCCCUCGUCACCCCCUCCAGCCUCCACUGACCUCCCAUGACCCUGCAUCCCCCACUGAUUCCCCUCACUGAUCCGCGGUGUCCUGUUGGUCUCCAGGGAGACCCUGGAGCAGGGCUGCCCGGGCCCCGAGGCGAGCGUGGGGAGCCAGGCGUCCGGGUACGUAUGUCCUACUCCAUAGCCAAGCUCCCUUCAUCCCAGCUCUUGCCUCUGAUUUCCAACCUCUGAGUCAAUGAACCUAAUGUCCAUCCAGGGUGAAGAUGGCCGCCCCGGCCAGGAGGGACCCCGAGGACUCACGGGGCCCCCUGGCAGCAGGGGAGAGCGUGGGGAGAAGGGUGACGUUGGGACUGCAGGACUAAAGGGUGACAAGGUGAGUGUGGGCGUGGGGAGGGCAGGGCAGGGGCCAGGGUGCUCCCGACUCCUCUGACUCCUCCAUGCCCCCUCAGGGAGACUCGGCCGUGAUCCUGGGGCCUCCAGGGCCACGGGGUGCCAAGGGGGACAUGGGUGAACGAGGGCCUCGGGGCUUGGAUGGUGACAAAGGACCUCGGGGAGACAAUGGGGACCCUGGUGACAAGGGCAGCAAGGGAGAGCCUGGUGACAAGGGCUCAGCCGGGUCGCCAGGACUGCGUGGACUCCCGGGACCCCAGGGUCAACCUGGUGCAGCAGGGAUCCCUGGUGACCCGGGAUCCCCAGGAAAGGAUGGAGUGUCUGGUAUCCGAGGAGAAAAAGGAGAUGUUGGCUUCAUGGGUCCCCGGGGCCUCAAGGGUGAACGGGGAGUGAAGGGAGCCUGUGGCCUUGAUGGAGAGAAGGGAGACAAGGUACAGAGGGGAUGGGGGCUGGGGGGCUAUGUGGCCUGGGGCCUAAGGCUCACCCCACUGCCUGAUGCCUGCAGGGAGAAGCUGGUCCCCCAGGCCGCCCCGGGCUGGCAGGACAUAAAGGAGAGAUGGUGAGUGUGGGC
rnacentral:sRNA from 1 species